AUCUGCGGCCAUACCACCCUGAACAUGCCUGAUCUCGUCUGAUCUCGGAAGCUAAGCAGGGUCGCGCCUGGUUAGAACGUGGAUAAGAGAAACAGAUU
rnacentral:rRNA from 1 species